rnacentral:rRNA from 1 species
UACGUAGGUGAGCAGUGUUGUCGGAAUCACUGGGCGUAAAGGGUGCGUAGGCGGGUCUUAAGUCAGAGGUGAAAUCCUGGAGCUCAACUCCAGAACUGCCUUCGAUACUGGCGAUCUUGAGUCCGGAAGAGGUGAGUGGAACUCCUAGUGUAGAGGUGGAAUUCGUAGAUAUUAGGAAGAACACCAGUGGCGAAGGCGGCUCACUGGUCCGGUACUGACGCUGAGGUGCGAAAGCGUGGGGAGCAAACAGG